rnacentral:rRNA from 1 species
GGGUUGUGAGGUUAAGCGACUAAGCGUACACGGUGGAUGCCCUGGCAGUCAGAGGCGAUGAAGGGCGUGCUAAUCUGCGAUAAGCGCCGGUAAGGUGAUAUGAACCGUUAUAACCGGCGAUACCCGAAUGGGGAAACCCAGUGUGAUUCGUCACACUAUCAUUAACUGAAUCCAUAGGUUAAUGAGGCGAACCGGGGGAACUGAAACAUCUAAGUACCCCGAGGAAAAGAAAUCAACCGAGAUUCCCCCAGUAGCGGCGAGCGAACGGGGAGGAGCCCAGAGCCUGAAUCAGCAUGUGUGUUAGUGGAAGCGUCUGGAAAGGCGCGCGAUACAGGGUGACAGCCCCGUACACAAAAGCGCAUGUGCUGUGAGCUCGAUGAGUAGGGCGGGACACGUGGUAUCCUGUCUGAAUAUGGGGGGACCAUCCUCCAAGGCUAAAUACUCCUGACUGACCGAUAGUGAACCAGUACCGUGAGGGAAAGGCGAAAAGAACCCCGGCGAGGGGAGUGAAAAAGAACCUGAAACCGUGUACGUACAAGCAGUGGGAGCACAGGUUUACCUGUGUGACUGCGUACCUUUUGUAUAAUGGGUCAGCGACUUAUAUUCUGUAGCAAGGUUAACCGUAUAGGGGAGCCGUAGGGAAACCGAGUCUUAACCGGGCGUUAAGUUGCAGGGUAUAGACCCGAAACCCGGUGAUCUAGCCAUGGGCAGGUUGAAGGUUGGGUAACACUAACUGGAGGACCGAACCGACUAAUGUUGAAAAAUUAGCGGAUGACCUGUGGCUGGGGGUGAAAGGCCAAUCAAACCGGGAGAUAGCUGGUUCUCCCCGAAAGCUAUUUAGGUAGCGCCUCGUGAAUUCAUCUCCGGGGGUAGAGCACUGUUUCGGCUAGGGGGCCAUCCCGGCUUACCAACCCGAUGCAAACUGCGAAUACCGGAGAAUGUUAUCACGGGAGACACACGGCGGGUGCUAACGUCCGUCGUGAAGAGGGAAACAACCCAGACCGCCAGCUAAGGUCCCAAAGUCAUGGUUAAGUGGGAAACGAUGUGGGAAGGCCCAGACAGCCAGGAUGUUGGCUUAGAAGCAGCCAUCAUUUAAAGAAAGCGUAAUAGCUCACUGGUCGAGUCGGCCUGCGCGGAAGAUGUAACGGGGCUAAACCAUGCACCGAAGCUGCGGCAGCGAACGUAUCACUUAAAGCGAUUCAGCGGGUUACGAUUGACGGAGCGAAGCGACGUCAAAGCGUAUACAAAGUCGAGUCGGUUUAAGGAUACGUUCGUUGGGUAGGGGAGCGUUCUGUAAGCCUGCGAAGGUGGCCUGUGAGGGUUGCUGGAGGUAUCAGAAGUGCGAAUGCUGACAUAAGUAACGAUAAAGCGGGUGAAAAGCCCGCUCGCCGGAAGACCAAGGGUUCCUGUCCAACGUUAAUCGGGGCAGGGUGAGUCGACCCCUAAGGCGAGGCCGAAAGGCGUAGUCGAUGGGAAACGGGUUAAUAUUCCCGUACUUGGUGUUACUGCGAAGGGGGGACGGAGAAGGCUAUGUUGGCCGGGCGACGGUUGUCCCGGUUUAAGCGUGUAGGUGUGUGUUCCAGGUAAAUCCGGUUCACUUUAACACUGAGGCGUGAUGACGAGGCACUACGGUGCUGAAGCAACAAAUGCCCUGCUUCCAGGAAAAGCCUCUAAGCAUCAGGUAACAUCAAAUCGUACCCCAAACCGACACAGGUGGUCAGGUAGAGAAUACCAAGGCGCUUGAGAGAACUCGGGUGAAGGAACUAGGCAAAAUGGUGCCGUAACUUCGGGAGAAGGCACGCUGACACGUAGGUGAAGUGAUUUACUCAUGGAGCUGAAGUCAGUCGAAGAUACCAGCUGGCUGCAACUGUUUAUUAAAAACACAGCACUGUGCAAACACGAAAGUGGACGUAUACGGUGUGACGCCUGCCCGGUGCCGGAAGGUUAAUUGAUGGGGUCAGCGCAAGCGAAGCUCCUGAUCGAAGCCCCGGUAAACGGCGGCCGUAACUAUAACGGUCCUAAGGUAGCGAAAUUCCUUGUCGGGUAAGUUCCGACCUGCACGAAUGGCGUAAUGAUGGCCAGGCUGUCUCCACCCGAGACUCAGUGAAAUUGAACUCGCUGUGAAGAUGCAGUGUACCCGCGGCAAGACGGAAAGACCCCGUGAACCUUUACUAUAGCUUGACACUGAACAUUGAGCCUUGAUGUGUAGGAUAGGUGGGAGGCUUUGAAGUGUGGACGCCAGUCUGCAUGGAGCCGACCUUGAAAUACCACCCUUUAAUGUUUGAUGUUCUAACGUGGACCCGUGAUCCGGGUUGCGGACAGUGUCUGGUGGGUAGUUUGACUGGGGCGGUCUCCUCCUAAAGAGUAACGGAGGAGCACGAAGGUUGGCUAAUCCUGGUCGGACAUCAGGAGGUUAGUGCAAUGGCAUAAGCCAGCUUGACUGCGAGCGUGACGGCGCGAGCAGGUGCGAAAGCAGGUCAUAGUGAUCCGGUGGUUCUGAAUGGAAGGGCCAUCGCUCAACGGAUAAAAGGUACUCCGGGGAUAACAGGCUGAUACCGCCCAAGAGUUCAUAUCGACGGCGGUGUUUGGCACCUCGAUGUCGGCUCAUCACAUCCUGGGGCUGAAGUAGGUCCCAAGGGUAUGGCUGUUCGCCAUUUAAAGUGGUACGCGAGCUGGGUUUAGAACGUCGUGAGACAGUUCGGUCCCUAUCUGCCGUGGGCGCUGGAGAACUGAGGGGGGCUGCUCCUAGUACGAGAGGACCGGAGUGGACGCAUCACUGGUGUUCGGGUUGUCAUGCCAAUGGCACUGCCCGGUAGCUAAAUGCGGAAGAGAUAAGUGCUGAAAGCAUCUAAGCACGAAACUUGCCCCGAGAUGAGUUCUCCCUGAGACUUAGAGUCUCCUGAAGGAACGUUGAAGACGACGACGUUGAUAGGCCGGGUGUGUAAGCGCAGCGAUGCGUUGAGCUAACCGGUACUAAUGAACCGUGAGGCUUAACCUUACAACGCCGAAG